rnacentral:piRNA from 1 species
UACUGAAAAUGCUUCAGGAGGGAGAGA